rnacentral:rRNA from 1 species
UUGAUGACGAGUGGCGGACGGGUGAGUAAUGUCUGGGAAACUGCCCGAUGGAGGGGGAUAACUACUGGAAACGGUAGCUAAUACCGCAUAACGUCGCAAGACCAAAGAGGGGGACCUUCGGGCCUCUUGCCAUCAGAUGUGCCCAGAUGGGAUUAGCUAGUAGGUGGGGUAACGGCUCACCAAGCCGACGAUCUCUAGCUGGUCUGAGAGGAUGACCAGCCACACUGGGACUGAGACACGGCCCAGACUCC